AAAGCAACGUCGCCCCUCCCCAACACUGGAAACUUUUUUUUCUCAUACUUAUCUUCAGCACCGUACAUUACAAAGAAGAGCAUCCCUUGACUUGACUUUGAGAUGACCCUGAGCAUCCGGGCGUGGUAGCAGCGAGGUAAUUCAGAGAAUGAGCUAGCCAUCAUUCUACAACCGUGGUGGUGCCGACCUGCUCGGAGGGCCUCAGACUAGCUCACUGGCAGACUCCUGUUUUUGCUAUUGAGCGAGGUCGUCGGUAUUGAUGAUCGACCUGUUUCGAGUACCUAGCUAUUGCUUCGGCCCGUUGCGUCGUUCUUUAUGAGCGCCGGGUAGGGAGCCUGCGGCAAAGACUGUUCACACGAUUGUCUGGGAUGGCGAUGCACGGGCUUCACCACAACUUCUAGCUUUUUUUAAGCUUCUCUCUCUGUUUCUUGUUGCAGGUCUUGCUUUCCCAGCACAUUUCAGAAACUCUAAAUGGAUGUUACACAUCAACUUGUGCACGGAAGGAAGAACAAGAAGAAUGUGUCUGUGGCGGCAAGGGGUAAAGGUAACGGAGAGCCCGCAGGUACGAAGCGGAAUGCCGAUUUUUGUGCCACGUGAAGAACGUAAUGCAAGACCACGGAACAGCCCUGCUUCUCCAGCUUCACCCGCGUACCCCCGAAAGCCCGUGUGAGCCGCGGACGGAGCCGCCGCCGUUUGCCUCUGCAUCUGU